rnacentral:tRNA from 1 species
GCUAUAAUAGCUCAGUUGGGAGAGGGUUAGACUGAAGAUCUAAAGGUUCCUGGUUUGACCUUGAGUUUUGGCA